AGUAAGUAUAGAUUUGGACUACAGACAGUGGGUGCCCAAAAGGGGGCUUAAAUAUUUGCCCACCGAGGUCCGCAAGCUCUAACGGCACGCCAAUGUUUUUAGAUUUUGGUGUCUUUGGGCUCUUGGACCUCAUGCGGGUUCAGGGGCCUUUUAAUUUUGUCG
rfam:Synergistales bacterium 54_24 S_scaffold_34, whole genome shotgun sequence.